GAGAGGGAGCCUGAGAAACGGCUACCACAUCUAAGGAAGGCAGCAGGCGCGUAAAUUACCCACUCCCAGUUCGGGGAGGUAGUGACGAAAAAUAACAAUACAGGACUCAUAUCCGAGGCCCUGUAAUUGGAAUGAGUACACUUUAAAUCCUUUAACAAGGACCAAUUGGAGGGCAAGUCUGGUGCCAGCAGCCGCGGUAAUUCCAGCUCCAAUAGCGUAUAUUAAAGUUGUUGCGGUUAAAACGUUCGUAGUUGACUUUGUGCUUCAUACGGGUAGUACAACUACAAUUGUGGAUUGUACAUUACCUUGUGUAUGUUAAGCGUAUUAUCGGUGGAGUUCUAAUAUAUAAUGGUACUUGUAUUGUUAUGUAUACCUCCUAUUUAAACCUGCUUCAGUGCUCUUCAUCGAGUGCUGUUGUGGGCCGAUACAGUUACUUUGAACAAAUUAGAGUGCUUAAAGCAGGCUCCAAAUGCCUGAAUAUUUUGUGCAUGGAAUAAUGAAAUAAGACUUCUGAUCUACUUUCAUUGGUUUUUAGAUCAAGAGGUAAUGAUAAAUAGAAGCAGUUUGGGGGCAUUAGUAUUACGACGCGAGAGGUGAAAUUCUUGGACCGUCGUAAGACUAACUUAAGCGAAAGCAUUUGCCAAAGAUGUUUUCAUUAAUCAAGAACGAAAGUUAGAGGUUCGA
rnacentral:rRNA from 1 species